rnacentral:rRNA from 1 species
UACGAAGGGGGCUAGCGUUGCUCGGAAUCACUGGGCGUAAAGCGCACGUAGGCGGACUCUUAAGUCGGUGGUGAAAUCCUGGAGCUCAACUCCAGAACUGCCUUCGAUACUGAGAGUCUCGAGUCCGAGAGAGGUGAGUGGAACUGCGAGUGUAGAGGUGAAAUUCGUAGAUAUUCGCAAGAACACCAGUGGCGAAGGCGGCUCACUGGACCGGAACUGACGCUGAGGCGCGAAAGCGUGGGAGCAAACGGG